UGAGAACUGAGGGAGAGUGGAGACAGAGAGACACAGAGACAAGAAGAGACAGAGACAGAGAAGGGACAAAAAGGAGAGACAGAAAUGGAGAGAUGUAUGGAGAAAGAAAGAGACAAAGCUCGGUGGCUGUAAAGGCCUUUCCACGCAAGCAGAGGAGGAAAGAUAGGAAACUGAUCGAGGAGGGGGAGUCCCCCCUGCAGCAACCCGGGGAGAGAGCAGAUGGGGGACCUCCAAAAAGGCCCCAGCCUGAGGAAAGGAAAUCCUCUCCGCUCGGGGCACCGGUCGGCCUUCCCAUCCGAUCUCCCUAAGAAAGUCCUCCGUAUCCCGGAACCUCAUCCUGAAGGAGCCCAAAGGCCACCGAGGUCAGCAGGGUGUCAGACGCUGCCCCUACCCCCACGCCCCACCUUCCACCUCGGCACUUUUCAAAGAGUAUUAGAAAUGGGCAAACUAUGACCUUCCAGCCACGGGCUAAGGAAAUUCCGGCCUCCGAUUUCUCCCCCUCUCGGCCCCAAGUCAAGGACGCACCAGGGUACUCUUCCUUCCCAGUCCCAGAAAAUUAGGUCUCGAGCCUCGCUCCAGCUUUGGAAAAGCAAAGUUCUGCCUGACUGAGAUCGACGACUGGGGGUGGGGUGGGUGGGGAAACUGAGCAGAAACGUUCAGAGAAAUUGUCCUGGCCGCUUCCGGAAAAGGCCGGCCCGGAGACUUACUCUUUAUUCGCCUUUUCCAAGAAAGUCUUUCAAGAAUUCUCUGAUUUUUUCGACUCGGAUUCCCAUUCCCCUUUGUCUCUCUCCGUCUUGCUUUCUUUUUCUUCUUUCUUUUCCUUUCAUUUUUCUCUCUUUUUUCACCUUUCUUCCUACCUCUUUACCUUUCUUCCUCUCUGGCUCUCUUUUACCUCUCCUUCCUUUCUUUCCCUUCAUUUCUCCGUUUUCUCCUUAUUUUUUAUAUUCCUUUCCUCCCUCUCUCUUUGCUUCCUUUCCCUAUCUUAAUCUUUCCUUUCUUUCCUUUUUCUUCCUUCGUUCUUUUGCCGUUGACUUUCCUUCUUUCUCUUUCGCUAUUCUCUUUCGACCACCUUUUCUUUAUUUUCUGUCUUUCGUGUGUUCAUUCGGCAUUUUUUCCUCUUUCAUUUUUUCUAUCUUUCUCCAUCGUCCAACGACUAAAAUUUUUUUAUGCUAGAGAAAUCUCUUUCCCGGGCCUCGCUCCACUCCUAUUUUUUGGCUUGUUGUUGAUCAAAUAAAACAAUUAAACUUCUACCUACUCACUGUUCUUUCCCUG
rnacentral:lncRNA from 1 species